UACAGAGGUGGCAAGCGUUGUUCGGAAUUACUGGGCGUAAAGGGCGCGUAGGCGGCCUACUAAGUCAGACGUGAAAUCCCCAGGCUCAACUUGGGAACUGCGUCUGAUACUGGAUGGCUUGAAUUCGGGAGAGGGAUGCAGAAUUCCAGGUGUAGCGGUGAAAUGCGUAGAUAUCUGGAGGAAUACCGGUGGCGAAGGCGGCAUCCUGGAUCGAUACUGACGCUGAGGCGCGAAAGCGUGGGGAGCAAACAGG
rnacentral:rRNA from 1 species